rnacentral:misc_RNA from 1 species
AGUUUCUGACAUCAAAUCCAUGCUUAGACACUCCCACAGAGCAUCAGUAGCCUCUAAACCCAUUUCCAACAAACCAAGAAGAGAUCCAAACACUCAGACUCUCUUAAACACCUUGAUAGAUCUUCUGAAUAUAUCCCUCACAAUAAAGCCCCAAGAUCAACAACCAAACCUAAAACCACACUAUUCGUAAACCAGAUAGGGAGGGGGAGAGAAGCCCAAAACGCUAUCAGCAUAACAAGCCUUCCCCUGCCCUCUGGACAGGGGAUGUCGAUUGAAACUCUAAGCUUGGCUGUACCGAGAUCCAAAAAAAACUAGAAGAAGAAACACAGAGA